UACGUAGGUGGCGGGCGUUAUCCGGAUUUACUGGGUGUAAAGGGCUCGUAGGCGGGGGAGCAAGUCAGGUGUGAAAUCUAUGGGCUUAACCCAUAAACUGCACUUGAAACCGUUUUUCUUGAGUGCUGGAGAGGUAGACGGAAUUCCUUGUGUAGCGGUGAAAUGCGUAGAUAUAAGGAAGAACACCAGUGGCGAAGGCGGUCUACUGGACAGUAACUGACACUGAGGCGCGAAAGCGUGGGGGGCAAAC
rnacentral:rRNA from 1 species